rnacentral:lncRNA from 1 species
UACUAUCUCGAGAUACCAACUCCUAUACUAUGGAUGAUGCCUACUUUUUUUGACUAUUCAUUCAUUCUACGUGCUGUACCACCUUUUCAAUAGUUAUCUAUCCUUGUUUAUACUAUACACUAGAUAUCUAUAUUUUGAAAAUAACUACUUAUUCUACAUAGCCCCACUCCUAACUAUGCAGCAUCCUCGCAAACACAGUAUUGAUAAACAUUAAUCAAUCUCUUUUUUUUUUUUUUCUUUUUUUUUUUUUUUUUUUUUAAUGGAUUUUUCAAUCUCUUCAAUUUCUGGCACUAGCUCCAUUUGGUCUUGUUCCAACACUAUGUCUUCUUCCUCUGACUCGUCCUGAAUCUCUGUCCUUAAUUGAGUUGUUAAAUCUUCAUUAUACGCUCCCAAUUCUCAAACCUGAGCUUCCAAUUGGAGUAUUCUGGCAUCUUUAGCUCUCAGUUGUUGCUGCUGCUCUUGCAAUUUUUCCUCCAAUUUUCCAAUUCUUCCUCCCAUUGAGGCAGAUAUAUGUGACUGUCCAAUAUUAACUAAAUCACUCUCCACUUUCGUUACUGUUUCUUUCAAAACAAUAAUUUUUGCCUAUAGCUCAUCCGUUUUGUUUUGAUAUUGGUCACCCAAUUCUUUCUUUUCAAGCUCCAAUGCCUCCUUCUUCUCUCGUUCCAUCUUCAAUUGAGCAUUCAUCUUCUCUUAUUUCAAUCUAUAUGAUUUGCGAGUUUGUAGUAAUUCUUGCAUUUGAUUUUUCAGGAUAUGC